rnacentral:pre_miRNA from 1 species
AUAAUACUCCCUCUAUCCGGAAUUACUUGUCAUCAAAAUGGAUGUGUCUAGAACUAAAAUACAUCUAGAUACAUCCAUUUCAAUGACAAGUAUUUUUGGACGGAGGGAGUAGUAG